rnacentral:tRNA from 1 species
CGCGGGAUGGAGCAGUCUGGUAGCUCGAAUGGCUCAUAACCAUUAGGUCAGCGGUUCAAAUCCGCUUCCCGCAACCA